rnacentral:lncRNA from 1 species
AUUUAGGAUUAGGGUUUAGUUUAAGAUUUAGGAUUUGGUUAGGAUUUGAUUAGGGUUUAGUUUAGAAUUUAGGAUUUGAUUAGGAUUUGAUUUAGGAUUUAGGAUUUGAUUAGGGUUUGAUUUACGGUUAGGAUUUAGGAUUUGAUUAGGAUUUGGUUUAGGAUUUUGGAUUUUAUUAGGAUUUAUUUAGGAUUUAAGAUUUAGUUAGUUUUUGGCCUAAAGUUUUAAUGAAGUUCAAUAGGAUUUUAAUUAGGAUUAAAUUAAGAUUUAAUUGAGAUAUAUUUGAGAUAUACUUGUGAUCAUUCUAAUAUUUCUUUAAGAUUUUUUAUUAUUUCUUUGUAAUUCCUUUGAGGUUUCUUUGAAUUUGAUUAAAAUUUGCUUUGCAUUGUUAUGAUCUAAUUAGAGUUUAGUUAGUAUUUUAUUAGAAUUAAGAUUUUUGUUGUUGCAAUUUCCAUUCUAUCUUCCACAGCCAGGUGUCCAAAGCAUUCUCAAGCAAGAUUUCAUGUAUUACAACACCGUGUGGUUAGAAUCUUACAUAAUUUCUUGUAAAGGUCUUAUUCUUUGUUCAAAUCUUUCACCAUAUUUUA